AGAGUUUGAUCAUGGCUCAGAACGAACGCUGGCGGCAGGCUUAACACAUGCAAGUCGAACGCACCGCAAGGUGAGUGGCAGACGGGUGAGUAACGCGUGGGAACGUGCCCUUCAGUUCGGGAUAACCCAGGGAAACUUGGGCUAAUACCGGAUACGUGCGAGAGCAGAAAGAUUGAUCGCUGAAGGAUCGGCCCGCGUCUGAUUAGCUAGUUGGUAGGGUAAUGGCCUACCAAGGCGACGAUCAGUAGCUGGUCUGAGAGGAUGAUCAGCCACAUUGGGACUGAGACACGGCCCAAACUCCUACGGGAGGCAGCAGUGGGGAAUAUUGGACAAUGGGCGCAAGCCUGAUCCAGCCAUGCCGCGUGAGUGAUGAAGGCCUUAGGGUUGUAAAGCUCUUUCGGCGGGGACGAUAAUGACGGUACCCGCAGAAGAAGCCCCGGCUAACUUCGUGCCAGCAGCCGCGGUAAUACGAAGGGGGCUAGCGUUGUUCGGAAUCACUGGGCGUAAAGGGCGCGUAGGCGGCCUGAUAAGUCGGGGGUGAAAGCCUGUGGCUCAACCACAGAAUUGCCUUCGAUACUGUCGGGCUUGAGACCGGAAGAGGUAAGUGGAACUGCGAGUGUAGAGGUGAAAUUCGUAGAUAUUCGCAAGAACACCAGUGGCGAAGGCGGCUUACUGGUCCGGUUCUGACGCUGAGGCGCGAAAGCGUGGGGAGCAAACAGGAUUAGAUACCCUAGUAGUCC
rnacentral:rRNA from 1 species